AAUCAAUCGUGUGCAGAGGGGAAUAGCAGGUUAUGCGUCUCUGUUAGAGACUACUACUGUCACAUGCUGCAAACAAGGCCUGCGAUCUUCAAUCCAAUACUCUGUGGAGCACGCCUGCUGCAACAAUGGGUGGUUGACAUGUACAUCAAGAUUGAGAGCUGUCGGUUGAGGUGGUACAGGAAGAACCAGACACAGAUCUGUGCCGAUUUGUAUAAAGGAGUUGUUGAUGCGAUAACAUCGGGGAAGACGCGAGCAAGCGCUGUUGGGGUGAGAAUAGUAUGUUGGGGAACGUAG
rnacentral:rRNA from 1 species